ensembl:lncRNA
GGAAGACGCUCUCUGCGAGCCAGAGAGAGCGUCAUAAGACCAGGAGACGGACGGAAUGAACAUUGAACGUUGUCCUUUUGUUUGUGUGACUUUGUGUUUGUUUAACCCGAAGGGGAAAUAAACGGGAGUUCGCUCCUUUUCACCAAAGAACUGUGUCCUGACUCCGGUGAACCCGUUACAGGGACCUUGGCUGACAACUUUGCUUUCAGACCUGCUUGUGGAAAUACUACUGACUCCCCCCUCGAACUUGACCGCACACAUUGCGCCCUCGUGGCCAAACCACUUCCCUUCCGGGAUGGAAGCCUCGGGUUGUGGAGGAAGACGCUUCCGACGCUACCAAGUGCGGGAAUUGGUAGCUUGAGGGGCCGCAAACAGAGAGGUAAACUACAGCACAAGAGAGAAAACCGGUACUGAUCUGCGAAGAUUAGUCCUGGAGUCCUGGAGCAGCGGUAGCACAUAUCGAGAAGUCAUGGCUGAGCAGUACAACUUGGGUCUGAAGCCAUCGUUGCUCUUCCAGACAAGGCUAACGAUUGUCGCCCGAAGAAUCUCGGGACUUUGCCGCAGCCCAACAGCAGUAACCUGUGGCCCGAUCGGGAGCGCCGAGAACCAGAGGGUGCGGACUAAAGACACAAACAACUCGUCUGGUAACCCUGGGCUGGAGGAGGAUAAGGAGGACCUGUGUGUAGGGCGGCAGGUUGAUGACUGCUAUCCUCCACAUGCUCCGCUCCGCACGCUCCAGCACGCAGCCUCACCGUAACCACUCCUGACAGGACGGGGAACAACCGGGAGAUGAUGAGGGG